CUCGGGCCGGGAACGCCGCAGGGGGGCGCUGCAGCCGCAGAGGGCAGUGGCCGUUGCGACGGGAGGGGCGAUGGGCGCGGCUGAGCGCCGCCUCGGUGGGGCGCGGGGCUGAGGCGAGCGAGGUGGUGGACGGUUCUCUCGGCCCGGCGGCUCUCACUGGAAGACUUAAGCUGCGCGUCACAUCAACACUCCUGAAAUACUGAAGUAAAAGACAAAAAAACUUUUCGUCAUAUGGUUGAUGUUUCUCAUAUGAUACCAUAACUCCUCUGAGGUGGGACGGUGUGAGCGCUGAGGGUGCUAAUGUUACAAAGAGAGGCCCAUUUGCCCAGUGCUGGGCUCUGGCUUACACAGAGCACGCUGUACCUGAGCAGGUCUGAUGUGAUGUGCGGGAGAGCCGUCCUUGUGGCACAACACCUCAUCCCUCUGUAGCCAACGGAAGGAUGGAAGUACGCAGUCAUUCCAGGUCACAGUUCUGCCGCCCCUCGCCUUGAGUUUAAACCGUGUGGGUGAGAAACCCCCUGCAUGCUGAUCCCGCAGAGCACUGAGCACAGGUGGCUCUGGGAAAGCUGAGGGAGCGUCUUCAUUCUGAAGCCCUCCUGGUGUGAUCUCAACUGGAGCAUGGUUCUCACCCUCUCUGCAUGGAAACCAUGCCACUGCUGCCCAGACCAGCUGUGCUCUCACCCUGCCACCCCAAAACCUGGCACUGGGUUAGGGCUCGGUAAAGGGUUCUUGAGUCUGUGAGGCUGUUCCAGCUGAAUCUAUUCAGUAGUUCUGGUUUUCUUGCACCAUUUGCGUUAGUGUUCCAUUCAGAGCGAUCUGAACCAAUAGUUAAAAACAUCACAAAGAACUGAGGGAAAAAAAAAAUACUGGAAAUCAAGUUUAAGACAAACAAAUCCAAGUUAUUUGUGCCUAAAUGUUGCUUUCUUAUCUGUCACCCUAUGCAAACAUUUCCUGAUGAAUCACCUUCUAGAGUAGUCUCUGAUCUCAGAGUAUCUCCGUUCCCUGCCUCACCUACGUUUGGCCUUGUAAUGACUAUGUCUGAUGUCCUAAGAUGAUUCCUUCUUAGGUAGGCAAAAGCCUGCUGUUAGGCAAGAUAAUGAAAGAGCAAAAUGUUAGAUUAUUCUGCAAAGAUUACAAAUGACAUCUGUCAUGAUGUAGCCUUGUUUGUGAAACUCUAUGGGAAGAAUCUAAAGAUACACAAGGUAAAUCCUCCAGCUCUGAAUCAAACAACUUCACGCUGAAGUUGAGAGCCUCUGUCCUUCCCUCCAUCCUUUUUCCUGCACUGGAUGCUAGCCAUGAUACCAGAAGGAAAGCUGACCUUUCACUGAAGUUCCCAAACACCUUCUGUGCCACCUUUUGACCUGUGCUCCACUGAGCACACCAUCAAAGUCAGAGGUUAUGGAAAAAUUAUGAAGAAAGUGAAGGCUGAAUGAGACUACUAACCAAAGGGGAAGCAAAAGAUGAUCUUUGGACAUCCAGUUUGAACUGGGGCUCGGGAGGUCUGUGUUCACUCUCUAGCUUGACCACAGACUUCUUUUUUGACUUAGAGGGAAAAAUGGAAGCUGAGACUUGCCCUGUCCUGAAGAAAAGAACAGUGUUUUACGCAGUUGCCCAUCUUUAGGGACCACGUUAUGGGGUGAGAACUUAAGAUCAGUUAACAUCAGUUCAACCAGGCAGGUGUGACAUUGUAUAUCUUCUUUCUGUUACAGACAUAGAAUUCCUUACAGGGACAUUUGUACUCCACAGCUUCUUUAGGAUGUUACAAUAUCCAUGUUGGUAUGUCCAUGUUUCUUUAUGCCUCAAGUGUCAGUGCAGCUGAGUAUCUGGAAGAUCUCACUUGCACAUAUAGCUAUGCUUUGUGAACUUCUAAAAGUAGAGAUUGCCUCUUCCUAUACAUUUUGUACUGAACUUGGCCACUGAAACUCCAGAAUUGGAUAGGACAUAUAGGAGCAGCUGUAAUAAAAAUUACAGCACAAAAAGCCCAGCACAGAUAUUUGAACAGUCACCAAUACUGGAAUAUGAUUGUUGCUUUCAGCACUAGGAAUCCUCCACCACCAGGAUUUUUCAGCCAGUAAGUACAUUGCAGAUAGGAAGCAGCAUGAAGCCCACAUGAAGAGAUCUACAUAAUUAGUGCUAGCUCAGGUCUCUUACAAGGAAUUCCCAAAAUACAGCUCAGAAGAGAACCAGCCCAAUUAUCUUGCUACUAUGUGUGCUUUGAGGAGAAUAGUAGAAGAUGCAGAUUAUGUUUGGUAGAGUUUAUUCUACUAAGUAUAAUGUUACUAAAAGCUGUAUUGGUCUAGCUCACAACAGAAGUAACAGUUGCCUUCAGCAUCCAAAAGUUGGGCCAAUCAACUGAACAUGGGUGAAAAGAAGCAGCUUGUGUUCCUCACUGUUAUGCUUCAUAAAUUGUUUAAUGUCCCUGUGCCUUUAAUUCAGCUGUAAAAUGAAUUAAUACUGCUCUGUCUAGAACACAUUGGGAUUUGCAAGUGAAAGAACACUGAUAGAUGAUAUUUAUGUUUUAUUUUUCUUAGAAUUGGCAUUGCCAUUAUCAAUACUGAAUGCCUAAAAUAAUCUGUGCAGCAGGCAAAACUACUGUUGUCAACUAAAAGUAGUCUGUCACCGCUGGGCUGGGUGUCAUGCAAAUACAUGUCUCUGUCUAGGAGGAAGCUAGAUCUCUCCCUUUGUGUUUGAAUUACUUCACAGUGGGGCUCGAUUGGUUGCUGUUCCUGAUGAAUGUGAAGAUCUCUUACUCUUCUGCUUCCUGAAAAGUAGCAAAAUCAGUACAGCCCAGGAGGGCCCUAGGAACUGUGAUUCAUUUCAUGUAGUCUCCAUCAGUAUGCAGCAUUAUCAACACCCAAGUAUUAAAUAACUGAGUCUCAAGAAGUAAGGAAAUUGGCUUAAAAAAAAACCUCAUGAUCUGUAAGACCAUCUAUAGAAGAUUACUUUCCCACUUUAUGUUGAUGAACAUUGCAAGCAAGUUGUACUUGCAUUGCAGGCAAGGUUUUCAUCUGGGUUUUCAUUUCUUAUUUUUACAUCCAGAGCUUAAUUGCUGUUAGAAGAAAGCUGACAAUGUGACACUUUCACUUGAUGCUCAGAACUAGCACUUUAAGUGGCUGCUGCUGGGGUUUAUUGAAAAUAUCUACUACUCUCUGGAGUGCACUGUGUUUGGGAGAAAAAUGGGUUAGGAAAAUAAAUCGCAUUUAGCAAAGAAUCAGUAGGGUAAUUUUAUGGUAGCAUAACUACCACACUGUGAAAUUACUGCUAAAUAAUUUGAUCAUCUAUCUAAUGUCUAAGAAUUUUACAAUGUAAUGAUUAUGUUUUGAAAGCAGAUGCUAUUGUAACUGCCUAUGUAGCCGUAGUGUCCUACUGUAUUGUAUAUACAGUAUGUAUUAUACAGCAUGUAUUAUUGCUGUAUUUUAAAGUUCCUUGUGACUCACAGUGCUGCUUAUUGCCACAGGUUGUAGUGCAUUCAUUGGCAAAAAAGAAUGAAGGAAAAUUAGCAAGAUUCCUAAGAAUUAGUUCAAAUUCCAACACAGUAUCUUUGUGCAAGAGCAAACAGAGCAGUAGAGCCUAUAUUUAGUUGUUUCUAAGAAAUAGCCAUUCUUUGAUCUCACAGCCACAGGCAUAACAAUGUAACUUCUACUUCUGACUACUACUGCCGGGAAUAUCUCAGGAAAACGCUACCCGUAAGUAAUGGGUUGGGGUAUGAAACAAAGCUGAAGAAAACUCCAGCCCAGGAAUGAGCAGGUGGCUUCAGUGCUGAUGUCCCUAAAUCAAGUACAGUUACUCUCUAUUUACACUGUUCAUUUUCUCCAAGCUUGGACAGUCUUUUUAUGCAAUGGUCAGCAUUGGUCCACAGUAGUGGUUUCCACAGUCACUGGAAUAUUUGCAAAAAUAACACAAGAUGAAACUAUGAAUAUCCAAAUGGUUGUGCUGGGCUACUGAUUCCUCCUGCCUUUAGAUAAAGCAUGGGAAGUAACUGAUGUUGCACGAUGUGACGCUGUUGUAGGGAGCAUCAAUCAAGUAGCACUGAUGAUGCACAAGAAAGUGCACAGUAAAUCUAAUAUUGCAGUGAGUUUUAAAUUUGGAUCCAGUCUUUCCAUCCUCAUUAUUUAGUUGAUUGGACGGGUAACUGCUCACAUGAUCCAGACUAAUGGCUGGUUGCAUAAAGACUUCUGCAGGUUUGGAACUUUAUUGGCUUCCAGGGAGUUGUUAAUUCACAAAUUUUAUUCAAAACCGAACAAGCAUCCUUAGGAUUCACUAAUACACCCCCAUCAGAACAGAUACCUUACCAAUUUGUGGCAGGUUCUGCAUGGCUUUUUGCAAUAAACCAGGCUACAAAAUCCCCAGACUGUCCCCUGGGAGGAAGCCGCAGUGAUGAAAAACAGACACAUCCUCCUGUGCACUGCAGAACCUACAGAGGACAAAGCUGGUAUAAUCUGUGAAGCACAGCUGCUCAACGGGCAGAUGUGAAGUAAUGCUGCUAUCAAAAAAGCACAACCUACUGUCUUAUCAUUGGAAUCUUAGGGCAAAGAAGUGCUGUACAUCAAUACAUUCUUGGUGGCGCUGUCCUCUUUUAAACUGCGUUGAUCUUUGCUAUCAGUGAAGACUGUAUACCCUCGACUGGACAGCUAAGUGUGUAUUUGCUCCCUGAGUACUUUACUCCCUUGGUGUAAUAGCUGACACUGACAGAUAUUUCCUUCAUUUUGGAAGGCAAAGGUGAGCAUGGCACAGCCUAAUUCCUGUGACGCAAUGUGCAUUCAUCGGCAGUGACUAUUAUAGCACAGAUAAACUACUGGAUGCCCCUGCUGAGGACAGUACAUGCUCUGUGCAGCAUGAUUGCACUCUGCUCUGACUUCUUCCUGUGUCACGAUGCCCACUGUCACCACAGUAAAAUGGCACUUCAUCAUUCCUCCCCAGGCUGUUGUGUACCUACAGCCGGAGAUUCCUGAGUCUGCCUCCCUUCUUCAGGGCUAUCUCCAGCUAAGCUCCUGCAGGUCAGCAGUGGCUCAGUGCACUUCCAGAUCUGUGUAGCUGGCUAUUGCCUUGAAGAUUUUAAUUUACUUCCUCACUUACCCUUUAUGAUGCUGUUGGGAUUCUGUAUGAGUCCUGCACUUGACCCCAGUACAGGGAGCUAUGAAGCUGGUAAAGUACAUGCAUUUUUUAAAAAUCAGUUUAUAUUCUCUUCUAAUCAGCAGCAAAAGCAGCUGUCACAAAAUGCAGGUGAUAACCAUGCCAUCUCAAAGCUUACAAGGUUUAGUUACUUCACAGGAAAUGUAGGCCUAAUGAAUAUAAAAGGUAGAAAUCAAAUGGAAAAUGAAAAAGAAAUACACAGUAAUUGAGAGGCAUUCAUCUCGAUCAACAUGCCAGGAGAGCACUCUUGGAAAAUAGAAAGAAAUCUAGUCCACUUUCUUUCUAGGGCAGAAAGUCUUUUAUUGAAAAUUAUUCUUGUCACGAGUGUGUACGGGAAGUGUACUAGGAUGUUUGAGAACAUUUUAUACUACCUUCCCCAGGGGGAAUUUAAUUAUUUUUCUUCUUCUUCUUCUUUUUUUUUUUUUACACUUUUGUGGCAGUUUGAGGCCUGAGCAAAGUGUGAUUUUGACAGCUUUGGGGACAGAAAUGUUCUAAUUAUUUGGGAAACAGGUACAGUAUAAGAGGGUGCUACACACUGUCCCUCAGAUUGCCUGUCUGAUAUGAUUUGUUACUGUCAAAUAUCCUAAAUGAUGUAAGGAGGAGCAUAUCGUUUAGUCUCCAAAAACCUCUCUGCCUAAUUAGAGCAGUGUUUGUUUUUCUAAUAUGGGAACUGAGCAGAGAUCAUAAAAUCAUGUAACAGGCCUCCAAGUACUCAGAAAGGACGAACAAAUUCUCUCUCAUGUAAAUUGGUAUGACUGGGCAAAUGGGCAUCUCUAGAUUCCACUACCAAAUAUUUAAACCAGCAUUUUUCACAGGUUUUUUUUUAAUCAGAUAAUUCAUUAAUUCAGUAUCAUUACUGAAUGUGGGAAAAAAAGGAAGAAAUUGCAACCCUCAUUGUCUUCAUAAAAAGGAACUGACAUUUAUGGGCUGUAAAAGUGACAAAUUAUGUUGUAUUUCCUGAGAGGCUGAAAAGUAUCCUUGACCUUGAAAAAUAAGUUCUCAGGAGCAGAGAAGCCAGGUUGCCUUUGCUUUAUAUUGUGCAAAAUUUUCACUGAGGUGCCAUCAUCUGACCAUGUUUCAUGACUACUCUGUGUGUCACAACCCACUCACUCAGAAAUACUGCCGUGAUCCAUCCCUGUAACCAUAAUGAUGAACGGUGUAACAGCUGGCUAAUUUCAGUACUGGUGAUUUACAGUCACCAGCAAUAUUUCCCAAAUGACAAUAUGACAGCAAACUGGAAUAAUAUUCCUUCCUUCCAAGAGCCAUAGUUGUCUCUAAUUACCUGGGUGUUUGAGGUCUAAGCAAGCUCUUGGAUGUUUUCAUUGGGACGUACCAGAAACUGAGAAGAUCAGCCAUAUCUUUAAAAAUGAGAUUGCUCAAAAGGACAAAAAAAAAGAAGUGAAAUAAGUCACAGCACCACAACACGUGGCUAGUUAAAUGCCUUGUCUGAAUACACAGCACGUACUCCUGUCAGUUCAAAGACAAAAUGAAAACCACUGAAGUACUUUUGUGGAGUUUCUUAUUUACUGAAAUCAUUAUUACACAUUUGGUCAAUAGGGCAUCAAACAAUUAAAGCUGUGCAAUGUACAAGGUUAUGUAAUCUUACCAGGGAAACGUAGCCCUAUUUUGUAUAAAAUAAAGAAAAAAGGUCUCUAACUGGAAACAUAAAGUCAAUCUGCUACCUUGUCUGAAGCGUAACGUCCGCUUAGCUAGAAAUAUGCAAACUAUUGACCAGAAGGACUGCCUCUAAAGAAGAGGGGAUGGGUAAGGCAGGUAGUUUGCUGAAGUUGAGGCGGGUGGGCUCAGACAGAAUCCCUGCCCCUGGACUUCUGGACCUGCUGUGCUCUCUGGGGAAGCGUUCUGUCUUGGCUGAGAGGAGGGGCUUUUUAUGCUUCAGUGUAAAGCACACCACCAGUGUCCUGAUUAGCACAGGCUAAAUAAUUUCCUGUACCUAAUCAAACUGUGAAAUUUGAACUUAGAAUGCAGCAAGUCAGAUGAAUUGAAGUCUGCACUUCAAAUCGGCCAACCCAGCAUGUUCUGAAGUCUGACCAGCCAUACCUAUACUAAGGAGUCAUUAAAUAUGUUAUGUAGCCUGUUUGAAUAAUAAACCUUAUUCCUGUACAUCUCACCUGAACGUUUACCUCAUAUGAAGUAAAUUGUUCAAACCAUCUGUCAAGCCCAAACACUCCUUAAAGACUGUCGUUUGCCAUGUGUUUGCAUCCUAGAAGAAGCAUUAGAGGAGCAACUGAGUUAAGAUGGCUUGAAUCUGACUAGCAAUCACUUACCUCAAAGUGAUAAAAAAUAGCCAUGUCUUGGAAGGGCUACAGACUGUCCUUUGAUAUCUCCUUUAGUAAACGCAAUAGGCCAAAUUAAGUACUGCUGCAAAAGUGCGGUCACUUUUGGUAAAAGUGCUAACUCCUGCAGCCUCAGCAUUCCGUUUGAAGGCAGCCUAAGGGGUCCAAGAAACAGGGGUAACGAGGAGAAACAACCCACUCCAAAGCCAUAAAAGUAGGUCAUUUUUAAACAUCUUUUUGAACUGACGUAACUCAUCCUUCUGAAACUGAUAAAACUCUGAUGUGCUCCAGAGUGGUGUUUUACCUGCUUAAUUAAGCUUGUUUUAGCAACUGUGCCUAACCUCUUAGCCCUUCACACCCCUGCUUUAAGAUGCUAUUUUGCCAUAUGUAUAUAAUGUGUGCUUAUCUGUGAAUGUAAAGAAUUCAUACAAAUGAAGAAAGGUAAUGUAGUUAGUAAAAGCAUGGCAAGAAUACUUAUCUUUUUUCCAAAAGUAGCACUGUAAUUACACCGUGCAUAUGCUCAUCUAUGAGGUUUCACACUUAAUAUCCAUAGGGCUGAAUCAGCACAGAAAAUAAACAUUCUUGUCGACGCAAACUGCUGCUCACUUGAAAGGAGCGUCUGUGUUCCUUUAGAUCGAAUGGUAGUUCUGCUGGAAAGAAAAAUGAAUACUCUAUGAAUAGUGAUAAAUAUUCUGUAGCAAUUUUAAGACAUACCAUUGUUUAGGUCUCUGCAAGUAUAUAAUAAUGAAUGAUGAACUUGAUAAUGAACUUGAUGUUGUCAAAACUUACUUCUUGUAAAAUAGCUCUCAUUUUUUCCCAAGGAUUUCAAGGAACAGGAAAAUCUUCACACUAUAUUGUCACUACAAGACUAAAAACGUACUAAGCAAUCAAGUGUUAAGUAAAAUCCUGAAGGCCAAAAGAUGCAAGCCAUGAAACUUUAGCACACCGUUAUUCAACAAAGCGCUCGAGUUUUUCAUUGAGACUUGUGUGUGGACUUAACUGUUAGAGCUUACAACGCCUUGCAGGUAGCAGCAAAAGCUUAAAAUAAUGUUUUGCCCCACCGCCUAGCAGUGAGAUAGAAAGCACUGCUAUGCAACGCAAUGGUGGGAGAGUUUGGAAAUUGUUCCAGUGAGGAUGUCAGAGAAGUUGUUGAGAAAGAAUGGCUGAUGAAGAGCUGCCAAGCUGGAAUAUGAAAUAGCUUUUUAUAUUCCUUAGAAAGGUAACUGCUGCCUAACGCAUUGACCUUGGGCUGGAUUCCAGGUGUGAAAGGGUUUUGCUACGUCUUCUUCUCAACAUAAAGAGAAGUGACAGACGCAGAGGUAGCCAGGGAGCUGAGCAUGCACACAAGGGCAGUAGCUAUGACCUUGCCAUCUUUUGUGAAGAGGAGAAGCCCUCAGCUAUGCAGGAAAGGCUGCUGGUCUUUGGUACUUAAUACACGGGUUAGAUGGAGCCCAGUGAUACCCCCAAAGCUGCUUUUCUUCCACUCUCAGGCAUUUGAGUUGGCAAGCUCAGCCUUUUUUACUUGUUGCAUUAAAAAUAAGCAAUCAAACUAUCUUAUCAACUUUUCCCUGUGAUCUUAUUCCUCGUGGUCUCCACUGAAUCAGACAUCAAUAAGGUGAGUUUUGCUCAGACUAAAAAGAGAUUUGUCUGCAAGCGCAGUUUAUGAUAAUUAGGGGAAAAACAAGUUGGACAGGAUGCUGAAGAGAAAAUUGAGGCCUGGUAAUACGUGCAAACAGGGAGAGCUGUUGUUGUUUUUCAUCUUAGUGUUUUGUUUUUCAGCAGCAGAAGCUGUUGCGUUUCGCUUCCUCCAAGCAGGAGCUAAUAAUGAGCUACCAAUAACGAUCUACCGUGUGGACUAAUAAGGAGGCUGUCUUGCUAUUUUGUCAAAGCAUUUUUUUUUUCCUGAAAAAAGACCCUUGCAUAUAAUGAAGUGCUGUAAGUGGAAUGCUGCUUGGUGUCUGGGGUGCUUGGUUGCUCUUCCUUUUUCUAAGACAGGUAGAAAAGUAUGCUGGAAUUGUAAAAAUGAGUGGUCAUUUUACAGUAGAAGCGAAAAACCUGACAUCGAUGUGCAAGCAAGAUACACUAAGUUAUACACUAAGUCUGGAAUGCUUUUCCCUUGAGUCCUCUCUAUCCUGGGAGAAGUGCUAUAUCAAGGCAAUCUCCAUUCACGCUUGUACUGCUGGACCAUCACAAAGCAGCUGAAGCAAACUGGCAAAACUCCCUUCAGAGGUUGUCGACCACAUGGCUGCACAGGACCCUGCAAUGCUGUGCUUAAAAAAGCAAUCAAAUUCAAGUCAGCUUGCUUGUUGUGGGUAUUUUCUGGGAACUGUUUAUUACCAUGCCACAUCUGCUGACCAAUUUUUGCAUAAUAAACCUCUGAAAAUUAAACUCAGCUUCACUGGUGUAUAAGAAUUAGACGUGGCAGACAUAGCUCUAUUCAACCGCUUCUGAGGAUUAGCUUCAAAAAUCAAAUUAAAAUGAAGCAAGCCCAAAUAGACCAGGUAAUCCCACACUGAGUUGCCACACCCAUUCAUAUUCACCAUCCAUCAUCUGUGCCUCUUGCAUUUUAUAUUACUAAUAUGAGGCAUCUCUGCAAGUAGUAUUACAGUGCACCUACUCCAUACAGUAAGGGUGAGAAACUCAUUAUAUAUAUGGCACAUUAAUACAUUAAGGUUGCAAGGCCUUAGUGACACAAGUAUUCCUACUUAAGUAAAAAUUCUACUUCUUUAUUCACUUCCAAAGCUGAGGGGAAACUACAUGAUUUUUACCUUAGAGUUUGAGGUAAAGAAGGUGAAGGUGAGACAUACAACGCUCUCCAAGCAGCACUGUGUGCUGUGACUUGCAGAAAUGGCC
ensembl:lncRNA